CUUGCAUACUAUUGGGUUGGCCAAAAAGUUUGUUCAGGUUUUUCCUUAAUAGCUUAUGGAACAAACUUUUUGGGCAACCCAAUAUAAUUU
rnacentral:miRNA from 1 species